rnacentral:rRNA from 1 species
CACGUAGGGGGCAAGCGUUGUCCGGAUUUAUUGGGCGUAAAGAGCUCGUAGGUGGCUCGGUAAGUCGGGUGUGAAAUUUCGAGGCUCAACCUCGAAACGCCACCUGAUACUGCUGUGGCUUGAGUCCGGUAGGGGAGCGUGGAAUUCCUGGUGUAGCGGUGAAAUGCGCAGAUAUCAGGAGGAACACCAGCGGCGAAGGCGGCGCUCUGGGCCGGUACUGACGCUGAGGAGCGAAAGCGUGGGGAGCGAACAGG